GGUUAAGCGACUAAGCGUACACGGUGGAUGCCCUGGCAGUCAGAGGCGAUGAAGGACGUGCUAAUCUGCGAAAAGCGUCGGUAAGGUGAUAUGAACCGUUAUAACCGGCGAUGUCCGAAUGGGGAAACCCAGUGCAAUUCGUUGCACUAUCGUUAACUGAAUACAUAGGUUAACGAGGCGAACCGGGGGAACUGAAACAUCUAAGUACCCCGAGGAAAAGAAAUCAACCGAGAUUCCCCCAGUAGCGGCGAGCGAACGGGGAGCAGCCCAGAGUCUGAAUCAGCUUGUGUGUUAGUGGAACGGUCUGGAAAGUCCGACGGUACAGGGUGAUAGUCCCGUACACCAAAAUGCACAGGUUGUGAACUCGAAGAGUAGGGCGGGACACGUGGUAUCCUGUCUGAAUAUGGGGGGACCAUCCUCCAAGGCUAAAUACUCCUGACUGACCGAUAGUGAACCAGUACCGUGAGGGAAAGGCGAAAAGAACCCCGGCGAGGGGAGUGAAAAAGAACCUGAAACCGUGUACGUACAAGCAGUGGGAGCACCUUCGGGUGUGACUGCGUACCUUUUGUAUAAUGGGUCAGCGACUUAUAUUCUGUAGCAAGGUUAACCGUAUAGGGGAGCCGCAGGGAAACCGAGUCUUAACUGGGCGUUAAGUUGCAGGGUAUAGACCCGAAACCCGGUGAUCUAGCCAUGGGCAGGUUGAAGGUUGGGUAACACUAACUGGAGGACCGAACCGACUAAUGUUGAAAAAUUAGCGGAUGACUUGUGGCUGGGGGUGAAAGGCCAAUCAAACCGGGAGAUAGCUGGUUCUCCCCGAAAGCUAUUUAGGUAGCGCCUCGUGAAUUCAUCUUCGGGGGUAGAGCACUGUUUCGGCUAGGGGGUCAUCCCGACUUACCAACCCGAUGCAAACUACGAAUACCGAAGAAUGUUAUCACGGGAGACACACGGCGGGUGCUAACGUCCGUCGUGAAGAGGGAAACAACCCAGACCGCCAGCUAAGGUCCCAAAGUCAUGGUUAAGUGGGAAACGAUGUGGGAAGGCACAGACAGCCAGGAUGUUGGCUUAGAAGCAGCCAUCAUUUAAAGAAAGCGUAAUAGCUCACUGGUCGAGUCGGCCUGCGCGGAAGAUGUAACGGGGCUAAACCAUGCACCGAAGCUGCGGCAGCGACACUAUGUGUUGUUGGGUAGGGGAGCGUUCUGUAAGCCUGCGAAGGUGACCUGUGAGGGUUGCUGGAGGUAUCAGAAGUGCGAAUGCUGACAUAAGUAACGAUAAAGCGGGUGAAAAGCCCGCUCGCCGGAAGACCAAGGGUUCCUGUCCAACGUUAAUCGGGGCAGGGUGAGUCGACCCCUAAGGCGAGGCCGAAAGGCGUAGUCGAUGGGAAACAGGUUAAUAUUCCUGUACUUGGUGUUACUGCGAAGGGGGGACGGAGAAGGCUAUGUUAGCCGGGCGACGGUUGUCCCGGUUUAAGCAUGUAGGCUGAUUGUCCAGGCAAAUCCGGAUAAUCAAGGCUGAGGUGUGAUGACGAGGCACUACGGUGCUGAAGUAACAAAUGCCCUGCUUCCAGGAAAAGCCUCUAAGCAUCAGGUAACAUCAAAUCGUACCCCAAACCGACACAGGUGGUCAGGUAGAGAAUACCAAGGCGCUUGAGAGAACUCGGGUGAAGGAACUAGGCAAAAUGGUGCCGUAACUUCGGGAGAAGGCACGCUGGUGUGUAGGUGAAGUCCCUGCGGAUGGAGCUGAGACCAGUCGAAGAUACCAGCUGGCUGCAACUGUUUAUUAAAAACACAGCACUGUGCAAACACGAAAGUGGACGUAUACGGUGUGACGCCUGCCCGGUGCCGGAAGGUUAAUUGAUGGGGUUAUCCGUAAGGAGAAGCUCUUGAUCGAAGCCCCGGUAAACGGCGGCCGUAACUAUAACGGUCCUAAGGUAGCGAAAUUCCUUGUCGGGUAAGUUCCGACCUGCACGAAUGGCGUAAUGAUGGCCAGGCUGUCUCCACCCGAGACUCAGUGAAAUUGAACUCGCUGUGAAGAUGCAGUGUACCCGCGGCAAGACGGAAAGACCCCGUGAACCUUUACUAUAGCUUGACACUGAACAUUGAGCCUUGAUGUGUAGGAUAGGUGGGAGGCUUUGAAGCGUGGACGCCAGUCUGCGUGGAGCCAACCUUGAAAUACCACCCUUUAAUGUUUGAUGUUCUAACGUUGGCCCCUGACCGGGGUUGCGGACAGUGUCUGGUGGGUAGUUUGACUGGGGCGGUCUCCUCCCAAAGCGUAACGGAGGAGCACGAAGGUUAGCUAAUCCUGGUCGGACAUCAGGAGGUUAGUGCAAUGGCAUAAGCUAGCUUGACUGCGAGCGUGACGGCGCGAGCAGGUGCGAAAGCAGGUCAUAGUGAUCCGGUGGUUCUGAAUGGAAGGGCCAUCGCUCAACGGAUAAAAGGUACUCCGGGGAUAACAGGCUGAUACCGCCCAAGAGUUCAUAUCGACGGCGGUGUUUGGCACCUCGAUGUCGGCUCAUCACAUCCUGGGGCUGAAGUAGGUCCCAAGGGUAUGGCUGUUCGCCAUUUAAAGUGGUACGCGAGCUGGGUUUAGAACGUCGUGAGACAGUUCGGUCCCUAUCUGCCGUGGGCGCUGGAGAAUUGAGGGGGGCUGCUCCUAGUACGAGAGGACCGGAGUGGACGCAUCACUGGUGUUCGGGUUGUCAUGCCAAUGGCACUGCCCGGUAGCUAAAUGCGGAAGAGAUAAGUGCUGAAAGCAUCUAAGCACGAAACUUGCCCCGAGAUGAGUUCUCCCUGAGACUUUAAGUCUCCUGAAGGAACGUUGAAGACGACGACGUUGAUAGGCCGGGUGUGUAAGCGCAGCGAUGCGUUGAGCUAACCGGUACUAAUGAACCGUGAGGCUUAACCUU
rnacentral:rRNA from 1 species